GAUGAACGCUAGCGGCAGGCUUAACACAUGCAAGUCGAGGGGCGGCAUGAAGGUUAGCAAUAACUUUUGAUGGCGACCGGCGCAAGGGUGCGUAACGCGUGAGCAACUUGCCCGUUUCUGGGGAAUAACCGGUGGAAACGCCGACUAAUACCCCAUGGCAUUGAUUUCAGGCAUCUGUUAUCAAUUAAAGAAUUUUCGGAAACGGAUAGGCUCGCGUGACAUUAGCUAGAUGGCGGGGUAACGGCCCACCAUGGCGACGAUGUCUAGGGGUUCUGAGAGGAAGGUCCCCCACACUGGAACUGAGACACGGUCCAGACUCC
rnacentral:rRNA from 1 species